rnacentral:lncRNA from 1 species
UAAACCUAUAAAAUUACUUGUUCGACAACAAUACCAUUAUACCAAUAGAAAUAUGAACAAAAAAGAAGCCAAAUGUAAAUAAAAUAGAUCAUCACUAAAUCAAGCUCUCGUUUAUUCUGCUCCCCGGUACAAUACUGCACCUACAUCAAUCAACCAAAUAAUAUAAAUAAACAAAACCAAAAAUAAAAACAAUUUCUGCUUCUACCUUAUUUUCCAGCUAGUCACAAUGUAACACAAUGUAUGAGAUGGUUAUUAAAGACGUCUAUUUUCUUUUUUCUUGUUAUCAUUUAUAUUACAAAAUGCAUAUACAAACUCAUUUGGACUCAUUUUCAUUUAAUUAUUCACAGCCUAAAACAUGCAACUAAACUAUCACAUCGUCAUUUCAAAUGUAAUACAAUGGUCUAAUAUCCCAAAUAUCUGCAACAUAAAUUAAUACCCAUCCAAUUAAGAAACAUAACAUACCAGCUAUAAAAAGGACAACAUGUAGAAGGAAAUAUAUAAAAAUUGAUUUAUAAAGCUAAAAGAGAAGAUUUUUUUGUAUAAAAAAUAACUAAAAAGCAAACAAAAUAUCUAGAAUACAAAGAAAUGACUAGAAGAAUGGUUCAAGAAGAAGUUAGAAAUGUGCUAGUGUAGAGAAAUCUAGAGUAGCAUUCCUAGGCACAAAAUGGUUGAUUAAAUGGAGGUGUGAAUAAAAACAAAUCAGUCGUGCAGACGUCCACAAUCACAUAUCAAAUAAAUAAAAAAUAGUAUGUCCAUCAAAUAUUUACUUUAUAUUCCAACAAAAAAAAGUGUAAAUAUUAAUAAAUUUGAAAGGAAUUGAAAAUGAGAAAAGAGAAGACACAUUACCGACAUCAUUUAUUCCAAUAUACUCUAUCGUGGCGUGCCUCCUCCAUGCUCUACACCCUUCAUAGAUUAGCCAAAAAUUAAUUUUAUAAAAAAAAGCUUGAUAGAUUAGCCAAGAAUAUUAAUAU